UGUCUUUUAGAAAUUUAAUUUAAAGUCUAGCCUGCCCACUGAAUUUUUUUAAAUGGCCGCAGUAUCCUAACUGUGCAAAGGUAGCAUAAUCAUUAGUCUUUUAAUUGAAGGCUGGAAUGAAUGGUUGGAUGAAAUAUUAACUGUUUCAUAAAAAUUUAUAAUAGAAUUUUAUUUUUUAGUCAAAAAGCUAAAAUAUUCUUAAAAGACGAGAAGACCCUAUAAAUCUUUAUAUUUAGAAAAUUACAAUUAUUUAGAUAACUUUAAUUUUACUUUUUUUAAAUAUUUUAUUGGGGUGAUAUUAAAAUUUAAUAAACUUUUAAUUUAUUUUAAACAUAAAUUAAUGAAUUAUUGAUCCAUAAAUUAUGAUUAAAAAAUUAAGUUACUUUAGGGAUAACAGCGUAAUUUUUUUAGAGAGUUCAUAUUGAUAAAAAAGAUUGCGACCUCGAUGUUGGAUUAAGAUACAGUUUUAGGUGCAGCAGCUUAAACUUAAAGUCUGUUCGACUUUUAAAUUCUUACAUGA
rnacentral:rRNA from 2 species